rnacentral:rRNA from 1 species
UUCUGGUUGAUCCUGCCAGAGGUUAUUGCUAUCAGGGUUUGACUAAGCCAUGCGAGUCGAGAGGUGUAAGACCUCGGCAUACUGCUCAGUAACACAUGGAUAAUCUGCCCUUAGGUGGAGGAUAUCCCCGGGAAACUGGGACUAAUACUCCAUAGUGGAUAUAUGCUGGAAUGCUGUAUCCUCGAAAGAUUAAUCGCCUAAGGAUGAGUCUGUGCCCGAUUAGGUUGUUGGCGGGGUAACGGCCCACCAAGCCAUUGAUCGGUACGGGUUGUGGGAGCAAGAUCCCGGAGAUGGAUUCUGAGACAUGAAUCCAGGCCCUACGGGGCGCAGCAGGCGCGCAAACUUUACAAUGCGAGCAAUCGUGAUAAGGAAACCCUGAGUGCCUGUCGAUGCAGGCUGUUCAUAUAUCUAAAUCAUAUGUGAAGAAAGGGCAGGGCAAGACCGGUGCCAGCCGCCGCGGUAAUACCGGCUGCUCGAGUGAUAACCACUAUUACUGGGUUUAAAGCGUCCGUAGCUUGAUUGUUAGGUCUCUUGGGAAAUCUUCACGCUCAACGUGAAGGCGUCUAAGAGAUACCGGCAAUCUUGGAACUGGGAGAGGUAAACCGUACUUCGGGGGUAGGAGUGAAAUCUUGUAAUCCUCGAGGGACGACCUAUGGCGAAGGCAGUUUACCAGAACAGCUUCGACAGUGAGGGACGAAAGCUGGGGGAGCAAACGGGAUUAGAUACCCCGGUAGUCCCAGCCGUAAACAAUGUGCGUUAGGUCUGUCGGUAACCACGUGUUACUGAUGAGCCGAAGAGAAAUCGUGAAACGCACCACCUGGGAAGUACGGUCGCAAGGCUGAAACUUAAAGGAAUUGGCGGG